UCCAACUGAACUGGAUUCCAUGUCUGUUCAGAAAUCAGUCCUUUUGCAGAAGACUCUUCUGUAGUUUCUGCUGUUGAGAUGCCAUUGAUUGGGAGGACUGAUUCCUAUGAAAGAUGCUUAUUCGGUCUAACAGUACUGGCUGCCGUUGAAUGUCAGAGACAAUGAAAGAUCUCUCUGAGAUGGAAAGGUACAGCCAUAUUUCCAGAGGGGCAGGAGUGAGGGAGACACUGGACACUGAGCCAGAUGAGCAAAGAAACAAAACAGAAAAGAUUGCAAUGAUGAUACUGAAAUGGAAGAACCAAAGCCCCAAACAACAUUGUUACUCACUUGAAAACAAAACAGCCUCAAAUUUCAUUUAUACCUUAACAAAGACUGAGCUUCAGUUAUAGCUACAUUCUAAACUGGCUGUUGGGUCCAGUCAGGUGUAGCACCAGCGUUUUUAUUUCCAACUGUAAUUGUUCAAAAUUUGUAUAUUUGCUGGCUUCUUAAAUUCCUCUAGUACAACUUUUUUUAAAUUACAUUUUUGAAAUGUAACGGUUUUCAUCCUCUUUAAAAGGACAGUUUCAGAUUCACACUGAGCUAGGGUUGCACUCAUGUUUGUGCUGGCCCAUUGAAGCUGUAAUUCACUUCCCCAGACCCCGCUCCCUGACACAUUUCCUUAACUGAACUGGAUCAUUGUCAGACAUGAAGGACCACAUUUGUGAAAUGUAUCCAGCAGAAAUUGGCCGCUUUUCCUGACUGGAGUGGACUCGAUUUAUGCUUCACUAUUCUUUACCCUAUCCCCAUCACCAGAUCCUUUCAUUCCUUUCUGUCCUAUGUGCUUAACUGUCACCUCGUCUAAAACCCCCUUCACAUUGUCAGUAACAAGGGGGCAUAAUUUUAAAGUUUGUUUUUCAUCCAGAGGAUGGUGGGGUUUGGAAUGCACUGCCUGGGAGGGGUGUUGAAGCAGAAAAUCUCACAACUUUGAGUGCUCAUGCAAGUACUUUAAUUGUUGUAAAAAUCAAGAGCCUAGUGCUGGGAAGUGGGACUAGUGUAGGGGUUAAUUUUUUUUGGCAGUACAGACUCAAAGGGCUGAAGGGCCUCUUCUGUACUGAUUAAUUCUAUUACUUUAACUGCUUUUUAUGCUAAUGAAAUCCAAUUACUUUCUGGGUAAAAAGGAUUCUCCUGAUUUGGAUUCAUGGCUCUUACUUCUAGUCUCUCCCUUGACCAGUAAAACACAUUUUCUACAUCGCUAGCAUUUGCUUUUGUAAUCAACAAGAUCUUGUCUUAUUGGAGUAGCAUUUAGGUGAGUACUAUGGGCUGUGUGUGGGAAAAACUGGGUU